UAGGGAAUCUUCCACAAUGGACGCAAGUCUGAUGGAGCAACGCCGCGUGAGUGAAGAAGGUCUUCGGAUCGUAAAGCUCUGUUGUUGGUGAAGAAGGAUAGAGGCAGUAACUGGUCUUUAUUUGACGGUAAUCAACCAGAAAGUCACGGCUAACUACGUGCCAGCAGCCGCGGUAAUACGUAGGUGGCAAGCGUUGUCCGGAUUUAUUGGGCGUAAAGCGAGCGCAGGCGGAAUGAUAAGUCUGAUGUGAAAGCCACGGCUCAACCGUGGAACUGCAUCGGAAACUGUCAUUCUUGAGUGCAGAAGAGGAGAGUGGAACUCCAUGUGUAGCGGUGGAAUGCGUAGAUAUAUGGAAGAACACCAGUGGCGAAGGCGGCUCUCUGGUCUGCAACUGACGCUGAGGCUCGAAAGCAUGGGUAGCGAACAGGAUUAGAUACCCUGGUAGUCCAUGCCGUAAACGAUGAGCGCUAGGUGUUGGGGACUUUCCGGUCCUCAGUGCCGCAGCAAAUCGCAUUAAGCGCUCCGCCUGGGGAGUACGACCGCAAGGUUGAAAC
rnacentral:rRNA from 1 species